AUGGAUUACAACCUUUGCAUUGUAUUUUGGAACGUGCGUGGCCUUAAUGCCCCGGCCAAGCGCACCGCCGUUCGCAGCGUGAUCAUCGCUGCUUCUCCUUGUAUUGUGUGCAUCCAAGAGACUAAGAUGGCUUCUCUCUCGUCCUCGCUCGUCACUGAGAUGCUUGGCUCGUCCUUCUCUGAGUUCUUCUUCCUGCCCACGGAUGGGACCCGAGGGGGUAUCUUGCUUGCUUGGCGCCCGGACAUGAUCGCGCUUUCUGAUCCUUACCGCGGCGAGCACCACAUCACCGCCCUGGCCUCCUCUCUCAAUGGCGCCCACCAUUGGUGGCUCACUGGAGUGUAUGGCCCACAAGGAGAUGAUGACAAGAUUGCCUUCCUCGGUGACCUUAGUGAGGUCCGAUCAUUGCGCGCUGGUCCUUGGAUCCUCGAGGGCGACUUUAACAUGAUCUCCGGGGCAGCGGACAAGAAUAACGCUCGGCUCAGUCACCGGGUCAUGUCCCGUUUCCGCUGCUUCGCUGAUGAGGAGAUGCAUGAUAUUUAUUUGCACGGGCGGCGAUAUACUUGGUGGAGCGAGCGUGGCACCUCAACGCUCACGCGCGUCGACAGGGUACUCUGUAAUUCUGCGUGGGAGGCGCUCAACCCUCAUUGCAUACUUCGCUGCCUCUCCUCCACAGCGUCCGAUCAUGCCCUCUCCUUCUAG
rnacentral:rRNA from 1 species